UGAGGCCGCAGCAGCUAAAGCGCUGCAGGCAAAGGAUGAGGCCCUGAAGGCGCUUGAAGAGGCCAAAGCAGCCGGGGCUCGUGCCUCAAAGGCCCUUGAGGAGGCCGUGGAGAAGGAGAGCCGUUCUUCCAAGGCUCUGGAAGAGGUGAAUGCGGAGCGCAUUCGUUUGGAUAAGGUUGUUUCCAGCCUUCAGGCUGAGGUUCAGUCCCGGGCGGUUGCGGUUACGGACCUUACUGCCCGCGUGUCUGAUGCGGAGAAGCGAGCCGACGCUGCCGUUGAGGCCAAGGAUGUCUUGGUGUCCUCUUUUAACCAGCUGGAAGCUGAUCGUGAGUGGCUGCGGACUCACGGCAUUGCGCGUAUUGUCGAGGCUAUCAUGAAUGCCCCUGAGACC